AAUGAACGUUGGCGGCGUGGAUUAGGCAUGCAAGUCGAGCGGAAAGGCCCCGCAAGGGGCACUCGAGCGGCGAAAGGGAUAGUAACGCGUGGACAACCUGCCCUGGGGACGGGGAUAGCUGGGGGAAACUCCAAUUAAUACCCGAUGACGUCUCCGGACCAAAGGUGUGAUUCCGCCCUGGGAGGGGUCCGCGUCCUAUCAGCUAGUUGGUGAGGUAACGGCUCACCAAGGCAACGACGGGUAGCGGGUGUGAGAGCACGACCCGCAUCACUGGGACUGAGACACUGCCCAGACACCUACGGGUGGCUGCAGUCGAGAAUCUUCGUCAAUGGGCGAAAGCCUGAACGAGCGACGCCGCGUGCGGGAUGAAGGCCUUCGGGUUGUAAACCGCUGUCAGUGGGGAGGAAAUGCCGGAGGGAUCACCCUCCGGUUUGACCGACCCGCAGAGGAAGGACGGGCUAAGUUCGUGCCAGCCGCCGCAGUAACAC
rnacentral:rRNA from 1 species